rnacentral:rRNA from 1 species
UACAGAGGUCUCAAGCGUUGUUCGGAUUCAUUGGGCGUAAAGGGUGUGUAGGUGGCGCGCUAAGUCGGGUGUGAAAUUUCGGAGCUUAACUCCGAAACUGCAUUCGAUACUGGCGUGCUUGAGGACUGGAGAGGAGACUGGAAUUUACGGUGUAGCAGUGAAAUGCGUAGAUAUCGUAAGGAAGACCAGUGGCGAAGGCGGGUCUCUGGACAGUCCCUGACACUGAGACACGAAGGCCAGGGGAGCAAACGGG